CGAACCCGCAGGGUGAGUGGCGAAGGGUCAGUAAUACGAUCGAACGUACCCCGAGGUGAGGGAUAGCGGCGGGAAACUGCCGGUAAUACCUCAUGAUCUCUCCGGAGCAAAGGUUUACCGCCUUGGGAUCGGCGAUCGUCCUAUCAGCUAGUUGGCGGGGUAAAAGCCCACCAAGGCUAUGACGGGUAGCAGGUGUGAGAGCACGACCUGCGACAUCGAAACUGAGACACUGUUCGGACUCCUACGGGAGGCUGCAGCGACGAAUCUUCCGCAAUGGGCGCAAGCCUGACGGAGCGACGCCGCGUGUGGGAUGAAGCGCCUUCGGCGUGUAAACCACUGUCAGGGAACGGAACCAAUGAUUGUUCCCAAAGGAAGGGGCGACUAACUCUGUGCCAGCAGUCGCGGUAAGACAGAGGCCCCGAGCGUUAAUCGGAAUUACUGGGCUUAAAGGGUGCGUAGGCUGAUCCGAAAGUGCUUUGUGAAAUCCCCCGGCUCAACCGGGGAACAGCGGGGCAUACUGCGGAUCUUGAGGCAGGUAGGCGCCGAGGGAACAGUANGGUGGAGCGGUGAAAUGCGUAAAUAUCUACUGNAACGCCGAUGGUGAAAACGCUCGGCUGGCCU
rnacentral:rRNA from 1 species